ensembl:lncRNA
CGGAGAGACCCGGCCCUGUCUUCGUCUUCUCUCACCCCCCUCCCACCCCACCCCGCCCCGGGGCCGAGUCCCCUCGGGCUUCCCUCCCCACCCGCCCGGGCGGGCCUCGCGGGGCUCCGCGGCUUUUGCGCUGCGCUCGCUCGCUCGCUCGCUCCUCUCCCCCCCGCCCCGCCGGCUCAGGCUCCGGGCUGGCGGCGGCGGCGGAGGAGGAGGAGGCGGCGGCGGCGGCCGAGGCGCCGGCGGCUCAGCUGCUCCCGGCUCUGUAAGCUCGGGACCCGGCUCUCCCGGCUCAUUCCCCCCCAAGCCCUUGCCUGGGAAUGAGGGGGGCGGUGGAGGCUCCGCUCCCCAGGGCCUGGCCCCGCUGUGACUCUCCGCUUUCUGCUGCCGGAGAAAGGAGGGAGGGAGGGAGGGAGGGGAGGGAGGGAGGCGAGGGGGAGGGGGCGGGGAGGGAGGGAGCGGGGGGAGGGGGACCCGGGACGGGCGGGCUGGAGGGCGCGCGGCAGCAGCCCGGGCGCCGGCAGGCAGAGUCGGAGCGUGGGCCGGGCCGGGCGCCCUGCCUCCCCUCCCCGGCCGCGGCGCCGGGCCGAGGCUACUGCGCGGCGGCGGGCGGGCGAGCGGGCGGGCGGCCGGACUGAGCGGCUAGAGCGCCCCACUCUCCUCCGAGUCCCCCUCACUCCGACACGAGGCUCAGCACUGCCAUUUUACCCAGAGCCGUCGCGGCCGCCUGGCAAACCCGGAACGGAGCGCGGAGCGGGGCGCAGGCCGUGGAAUGGACUCGCUCCCUUCCCCUCACAAAGGAGGAGGGGAGAGAACCAGCCGCGGCGGCGGCGGCGGCGGCGGCAGGCGCUCUGCCGCUCUCGCUCGGCAGCGCCGCCGCCGAAGGCUUCGGGGAAAACCCGGCCCGGAGCUCGCGCCUCUCCGGAGCCUGCGCGCCGCCUCCCUCCUGGCCUCCCUAUCCAGCCAAGAACCAAACCAGCCUACCAGGAUCUGACUGACUGGAAUGGACCAGUGCCCUCCUUUCAUUCACAGUCCUCAGGGGCAACAACUCUCCUGGUGCAUCAGGUCCUAGAAACCAAAUUAUAGGCUGCCUCAGAAAUGGAGCUUGGCUAUUUAAUCAACUGCCUCUGAGCUGGCAAACAGUCCUGAGUCCUGCACACAAAUGAAGAAUUUUUUACAUGCAAUUACCCUGCCAUUUCCCUCAGAGCUGGAGUGUAAGGAGAAACCUGGAGCCCAGUGAAAAUCUGGAAGCCAGAAUGAAUUUGUCUCCAGAGAAAGCCCUCAUCCCCCUUCUUCAAUGGUUGUGAAAUUUGGAAAAUGCCAAAAUCCCUUUCUGACACGUGGGCAUGCUGUUUUGAAAACAGCCACCAUCUUUAUCUAGCAAUAAAGUGCACAAAAAUCUAUCCA